UUUUUAUUCAUGCGAUGUCAGCCCAGGAAAAUAGGAGAUCAGUCUCAAAUCUGUCUCCCCUACCAACUGAAAUUGAGGGCUUUAUGUAUCAGGAGGAGGAAUGUAAGUACGUGCUGGAAAACAGGAAUUAGGAAGGGGAAAGGAGGCAAUCCUGACUAAUGGGAGGUCGGGCAUCUCAUUGUCUGGGUGUAGUGUUUUGGUACGUUUCAGUCCCUUGCCUGAGGGUUGGUUUCCUGAGGAUGGAACUCAGAUAAGACAAAUGUAAGUUUCAUGUUUUAAGACCUGGAGGACCAAUUUCUAUGUUUAUUCAAAAAAUCCAAAAAUAUCAGCUCUGUGGGAAUUGGGCUGGUUUCAAUUUGAUUUAUCCAUUCCUGAAGACUGAUGAGGUAUUUUGUUGCCUCUUUUGUUCUCUCUCCUUCAUUCUCUAAAAAACAAUUUUAGUCCAACUCUAAGAAAAGAAUUUGGGAAAAAUAAAUUUAGUAAAUGAAGCAAGCCAUCGAUAUGGUUUAUUUUGUUGUUAAGCUACACUCUUUGUUGUAAUGUCAUGUGAUAGAAUGCUUGGCCAAGACUGAUCCUUACAGUGGGCCAGCCUUGCAAAUGUGCAGAAAGGAUCCCAUUGUGAUUUAAGAUGUGAUAGUGAGAUGCUCAUCCCUUAUUUCAUGCACUCAAUUAUUCAGUAACUAUUUUCUAAGCACCUACUUUGCAAAAGGUCUUUAAUCGGUAGGCACUGAGUGUACAGUGGAAUGGAACAUCAAAGUGGUCUUAGUCUAGCAGAGCUUUCAGUCUUAGCAGGGGAGACAAACAUUGAGCAACUAAUUAUACACUUAAUUAUUUGAUCACUGUUGUGAUAACUGCUUUGAAAAUGAAAGAAAUCUUACUUCACCCAGUCUCCACUUCCAUAAGGAAGUGACUUUUGGCUUGAGAGCUGCAGGACAAGUUUCUUCUUCAGCAAAUGAGUGGGGAAAAGAAAUUCAGGCAGAGUAGACAGUGUAAAGCUGGAGCAUGGGCACUAAACAGCUGGGAAAAGGCCACUAUGGCUGAAGGGCAGAAAUUAAUAGGGAGAGUGGCCAGAUGAAUUAGGAAAGCUCAAUCAUACUGAGAUUGGUAGGCCACGUUAAGGUUUGGUGUUAGCCUAAUGUCCUAAGGAAUACAUUGACAGAAUUUGAACAGGUUUGGGGUCAAAUGAUGAGGCACAUUUUGAAGGACCUCUCUGACUUCUUGGUGAAAAAUAGAUCAGAAUAAUACAGAAGUGGCUUGGGAGAGACGAAACAAGUGGACUUAUCGGAAACUUCUUCCAGUUUCCCAGUUGCAGGCCCUGACACCAACAGCUGAAGCUCCAGAGAUGAAUCUAGCCUGAGCAGGUUCUAUAUAGAACUAGGCUUGGCUCAGAUGUACCAGGCGGCAGAGUGUGAAAUCAAUCUUCCUGCUCUAAGUUUGAUGUCCUCUGCCUGGCAUGUCCCAGGCCGCUAGACCACAGAUUUGCCCACUGCAGCACUAUCGUCCAGGGCCAAGUUCUGGCUACAGUUUCAGGGUUCCCUUUUGCCCUCCAUUUACGACACAGGACUGGAGCCUUUUUCUGAAACCUGCCUUGAUGCCUGCCCACAUUCACAAGCCUCUAAAUUCCACAGUCGUUCACUAUAAGCCUGAUUGGCCUCCCAGGAGAACAGUGUCUUCCCAAAUAAAGCUCCUUUCCACUAGCUGCUGCACCUUCAGCUGUUGAUUCCCUCACCAGUCUCCCCUCUGCCUCAGGUCCGAGUCCUUAACUGGACCCUCUUCUAGCCUCUCCAAAAAUGCCUCUGAGCUGAGGCUGCUGGAUUCAUAAAAAUGAGCUACAAUAAAUACCUCACUAUGGUGAAGUAUCUGUCUAGAAGAACUUCCCUUUAGCAAAAGAGAGCUUUCUUACUCUUUUGAGAUCACAAGUGUAAUUAUGUGAAUAAUUUCUGGCCAAUAAGACAAGCAAAAGAAUUGUGUGCAACUUCUGGGAAGAGAAGAGAUGUGACUUCCUUCAUCUUGUUCUUCACCUUGCUGUCUGGAAUAUGAACUUGAUGGCUGGAACUUGAGCAGCCUUCUUGGAUCAGAAGGCGGCCUGGGAAUAGGAAUAGAGCUGAAGAGAAGCCGCUGCAUUCUUGAAAAUUAUAAAGAUGCCAUGCCAUUUCAGCUUGCUUUCCUG
rnacentral:lncRNA from 1 species